UGAUAAGUAGGGCUUUGAUGGUCGAAUGU
rnacentral:piRNA from 1 species